UGAUUAGCCUUUUCGCAAUCUGAAACCCUAGUUCCCAAAUCCAUCUAUUCUCACCUUUUCCAAUUUGUUACUUUGAUUCGCAAUGGCUCGUACGAAGUAGACCGCUCGUAAGUCCACCGGUGGAAAGGCUCAAAGGAAGCAACUUGCUACCAAGGAAAUCUGCUCCAACAACCGGAGGAGUGAAGAAGCCUCAUCGUUAUCGUUCUGGAACUGUCGCACUACGGUGAAUUGGCCAAACAUGUUGUUUCUGAGGGUACUAAGGCUGUUACCAAGUUUACUAGCGCUUAGAGGAGAUUGGUUUGUUGGGUUAGGUUUUGCUUGGUUUAUGUAACUGGAUUUUGGUAAUUUGAUGUAAAGCUAGUUAAUGUUCAUUUAUUAGUUUGACGUAAAUGAAAGGAAGAAUAGAAUUGUUCUCAGAUAAUCCGCCAUAAAAUGUUCUUUAAUGUUGAAAUUAGGUGUAUUUUAAUUUUAUGGGUUUGUAUAUCAAGUCAUGUUGGUUUUUUAUAUUUAUUAAAGAUUUGA
rnacentral:lncRNA from 1 species